rnacentral:precursor_RNA from 8 species
AAACGGUUGCCUUCAUGUCGGGCUAUGUUCACAGGCACGGCCAGUUUGAGCAUUUUCACUGAAUUGCCAAACCAGUUGUGCCUGUAGACACAACCUUUACCCGCAACAAGUCUCCCCA